AAGUCGUAACAAGGUCUCCGUUGGUGAACCAGCGGAGGGAUCAUUACCGAGUGUAAAAACUCACCAAACCCUGUGAACAUACCUUUUGUUGCUUCGGCGGGAUUGCCCCGGGCUCGCUUGCGUGCCCCGGACUCAGGCGCCCGCCGGGGGACCCAAACUCUUGUAUUCUGUGAGUGGUUUUAUCUGAGUGGCUUACAAUAAGCAAAUGAAUCAAAACUUUCAACAACGGAUCUCUUGGUUCUG
rnacentral:misc_RNA from 1 species